rnacentral:sRNA from 12 species
CCCUGACAGAAUGUUCCACGUAGAACAAUCUGACACUAGCCACGACAGGAGAUACUCAUG